CAAUAGUUUUUUAAUUGAAAGCUGGAAUGAAGGGUUGGAUAAAAAAAUAACUGUUUCUAUUUAAUUUAAUUAGAAUUUUAUAUUUAAGUUAAAAAGCUUAAAUUUUGUUAAAAGACGAGAAGACCCUAUAGAGUUUAAUAAAUAAUUAUAUUAUUAUAUUUAGAAUUAAUUUUAUUAAUUAUAUUAUUUAUUUAAUUGGGGUGAUUAAGAAAUUCAAAUAACUUUUUUUAUAUUAUAACAUUUAUAGGUGAAUAUUUGAUCCAUGGUUAAUGAUUAAAAGAUAAAAUUACCUUAGGGAUAACAGCGUUAUUUUUUUUUAGAGUUCAAAUCGAAAGAAAAGAUUGCGACCUCCAUGUUGGAUUAAAAUAAAUUUUUGGUGUAGAAGCUAAAAUAUUAGGUCUGUUCGACCUUUAAAAUUUUACAU
rnacentral:rRNA from 1 species